GGUGUAGGCUGGCAGCUGCAGUUCCGAUUGGACCCCUAGCCUGGGAACCUCCAUAUGCCACAGAUUUGGUGACGGCGACGGGAUCCAGAGAGAACUUCUGAUGGCUUUGGGGACAAUUGGAAACAGAGCUUCUUCCUCCAGUGCAGUCCCGAAUGCCUGAAAGUCAUCCUUGAGGUUGGAAUCAGCUUCCUUCAAACUGCUGUUAAUGUUCUUCCCACGAAUCACAAAUGUUCUUAGGGGCGUCUACAAUGGUGAGUCCCUUCCAGAAGGUUUACUUUUACUUACCGAAUUUACUUUGCCCAGAUCCACUGGAAGCAUCACCAUCUAUGGCAGAUGUAGCCUUAUAAAAUGUAUUUCUUAGCGAUAAGACUUGAAAGUUGAAAUCACACCCAGGGGCUGCAGAAUGGAGACGGUGCUAGCAGGAAUGAAAACAACAUUAAUCUCAUUGUGCUUCUCCAUCAGGGCUCUUGGGUGACCAGGUGCAUGGUCAGUGAGCAAGCAUAUUUUGAAAGGAAUCUCUUUCUGAGCAGUAGAUCUCACCAGUGAACUUGACAUGUUCAGUCACUCAUGUUGUAAACAGAGGUGCUGUCAUCCAGGCCUUGUAGUUGCCCUGAUGGAGCACAGGCAGGGUAGAUUUAGUUUAAUUCUUAAGGGUCCCUAUCCCUUUCAGAUGGCAAAGGAGCAUUGGCUUCAACUUCAAGUUACCAGGCUCAUCAGCCCCUAACAAGAGAGUCAGCCUGUCCUUUGAACCAGGCCCUGACUUCUCUUUAGCUAUGAAAGUCCUAGAUGGCAUGUUCUUCCGAUAGAAGCCCGUUUCAUUCACAUGAAAAAUCUGUUGUUUACUGUAGCUACUUUCAUUCAUGAUCUUAGUAGAUCUCUGGAUAAUUUGCUGCAGCGUUUGCAUCAGCGUCUGCUGCAUCAGCUUUCAGUUUUAUGUUAGAAAGAUGGCUUCUUUUCUUGCACCUCAUGAUCCAGCCUCUGCUAGUUCAGACUUUUCUUCUAUAGCUUCUGGCCCUCUCUCGGCCUUCACAGAGUUGAAGAGAGCAGGGCCUUGCUCUGGAUUAAGCUUUGGCUUAAGGGAAUCUUGUGGCUGACGAGCUAUCCGGACUGUUAAAAUCUUCUCCCUAUCAGCAAUGAGGCGGUUUCAUUUUCUUACUCUUGUGUUCACAGGAGAAGCACCUUUAAUUUCCUUCAAGAACUGUUCCUUUGCAUUCAGGCCUUGGCUAAUGGUUGGUGCAAGAGGCCUAGCUUUUAACCUGUC